rnacentral:rRNA from 1 species
UACGUAGGGUGCAAGCGUUAAUCGGAAUUACUGGGCGUAAAGCGUGCGCAGGCGGUUGUGCAAGACCGAUGUGAAAUCCCCGGGCUUAACCUGGGAAUGGCAUUGGUGACUGCACGGCUAGAGUGUGUCAGAGGGGGGGUAGAAUUCCACGUGUAGCAGUGAAAAUGCGUAGAGAUGUGGAGGAACACCUAUGGCGAAGGCAGCUCUCUGGGACGGUACUGACGCUGAGAGCGAAAAGCGUGGGGGAGCGAACAGG